UACGGGGGGGGCAAGCGUUGUUCGGAAUUAUUGGGCGUAAAGGGCGCGUAGGCGGUGCGGCAAGUCUCCUGUGAAAACUCCGGGCUCAACUCGGAGCCUGCAGGAGAAACUGCCGUGCUUGAGUGUGGGAGAGGUGAGUGGAAUUCCCGGUGUAGCGGUGAAAUGCGUAGAUAUCAGGAGGAACACCGGUGGUGUAAACGGCUUUCUGGACCAUAACUGACGCUGAGGCACGAAAGCGUGGGUAGCAAACAGG
rnacentral:rRNA from 1 species